rnacentral:piRNA from 1 species
UACAUGGAUGCUCAUAUCUAAAUUCCUAUC